GUUUCCUCUUAACAAUGGCAGCGCCAGCGGCACCAAUCGAGUCCGUCCAAUGCUUCGGCCGCAAGAAGACCGCUGUGGCCGUCACCUACUGCAAGCGUGGGAGAGGCCUAAUCAAGAUCAACGGUUGCCCAAUCGAGCUGGUUGAGCCCGAGAUCCUCCGUUUCAAGGCGUACGAGCCCAUCCUCCUCCUUGGACGACAUCGUUUUGCGGGAGUCGACAUGCGUAUUCGCGUCAAGGGCGGUGGGCACACCUCCCAGAUCUAUGCCAUCCGCCAGAGCAUAGCUAAAGCUCUCGUCGCCUUCUAUCAGAAGUACGUGGACGAGCAGAGCAAAAAGGAGAUCAAAGACAUUUUGGUCAGGUACGAUAGGACUUUGCUUGUAGCUGAUCCUAGGCGCUGUGAGCCUAAGAAGUUCGGUGGUCGUGGUGCUCGUGCCAGGUUCCAGAAGAGUUACCGUUGAGUUGGAUAUUUAUGCUCUAUGCUUAUGUGAUUUUGAAGAAUGUUUUGAGGUUUAUAUAUUGAGAUUUGAGAAGUAGAAUGUUAAUGGGUUUUUGUUAAUGUUGGUUUGUGAAGGGGUUUCUCUUCAUAGACUAAGUUCUUAAUUUUGUUGUCAGGAUAAUUUAAUCUUCAUAGCUAGUUGAUUAAACGUAUUAUAUUCACUUGUUGAAUGUUUUGCAAGAUACUGUUUGUGCAUGUUACUCUUCUCCACAUUGGCCUUGAUCAAAGGCAAUUCUUCUGUUCUACUUGUGGUUUUCUGACUUUUGAUUCCUGUAUAUUAGUGGGUUUUGUUUUCUAUUUUCAAGUUAACUUUGAUGUUUUAAAUUUAAUUGUUUUCCAUUGGAAUCUUUGUGCUACUUUAUGCUCAGUUGGUUCUUUAAUGUGUUAAAGCUUGAGUAACUGGUUGUGUAUAUUUGGUGGAUUGUUAUUAUUAUGUUGGGAAGUGUUUGGUUUUUGAGCUGCAGGGAUCUGGUUUGGUCAUACCUUGCUUUAAUAUAGUGAACGAGCCAUUUACACUUUCACACUUUGAUAGGGAUUAUGGGUGCUCUUUUACUCAUUUUUGUUACGCUAGUUUGUUUCUUAUAGAGGAUUGUUUUGCUUCUGUG
rnacentral:misc_RNA from 1 species